GAGCUUCUCUGGAGUCCUUUGGGCUCCUUGCAGCUUCUUUGGGCUCCUUUGGAUACCUUUGGAGCUCCUUGGAGAUCCUUUGGUCUUUUUUGGAUUCCUUUGGAGCUCCCUUGGGCUCCUCUGCAGCUCCCAGUGCGGGCUCUUGCCCAGACACCCUUCACCGUGCUCUCCAGACAUCCCCAUUUCCACCCUGUUUUUCAACUUGUUACAAAAACUAAAGAUGCAUUGUAUGUACUGGACUGCCUUUGCCAAGAUAAAUAAACCCAUAGAUGCUUUUUUUUCCAGGCAUUCACAGUCAAAUGAACGUGAAUAUUAACAGCCACUCCAUUAGACCCAAACUUUGGUGAGAUAAUAAGAGAGAACGACUCCGUAACCCCGCGCCUUCAAUCACGCGCGUAAUGCGCUCCUGUCUGUCUGCUGCUUUUCAUCCAAAAGCACGGGAAUCUGUGUGAAGUAAUAAUAUCUGAAGUGUUUCUUAAGAAGCAGAACCUGUCCCUAGGAAAACAUUCUCCUGACAAAGAAAUGUCUGCAUUGCAGAGCCUCCGUGAGUUACAGCUCUUUUCUCCCAUCGCUGGGCCUGUGGCCACUCCUGCAGGACCGCUUUGCUCAGAGGCCGUUGUGGUGGGCUGUUGUUCCCAUGUCUCUGAAGUCCUCGUGCCCACCUCCUCCAUCCUUCCCAGUGGGGAAGCGCUGCUGGUCCUGCUUGCACAAUGCAGAACUGAUUGACUUGUCCAGGAAGGAAACACUUGAGGGAAAUGGGGGCAAGAUGUGGGGAGCAGUGUGGCAAGAGCAAGGCUGUGCUAGGAGUGGGUUUGUCCUAUAGGUGAAUCCAGAAGAGCUUGGGUUAUAGAGUGCUGAGACACUCUUCCCACAGUGGAGCUUGAAUUCUCUGCAAGCACGCCAUUAAAAUUCUCACAUUGCACUGAAAACUGCUACAGCUUAAAGCUUAACCUUCUGCAGCAAUUGUUAAUGGUCACAUUUUUCUCUUUGUUAGAAAAAAAAUAAAUAAAUGUACAAACUGCACAGCCUGUGUCAAUCCUCAAACAUGCCAGCUCAGGGCUGAGAACGAGAUAGGCAGAAGAAUGCUGCUCAGAGAAGGGUCUGGCCCUUCUGCUGCACAACUUUCCCAUGCAGAGAAAUGAAAUGUGGACCCCGGCACCUCGGUGUCUGGCUCCGGCUCUAAAGUGGUUUCCACUGGUUAUAGAACAUGCUGACAGGCUCUUCAGAUAAGUAGGGCAAGGCAAGGGCACUCAGACUCUUGGCAGCAGGGCCAUGGGUGUCCUGCUUGCGUGGCUUCAGGAGGGCCUUUUGAACCCCGCAUUCGGCAUCUGGGAACGGUUCCUGUUCUUAAGGCAUCUGACCCACAAACCCCUUUGGUAAUUUAAAGCUCAUUAAAAUCUGCAAUCAGUAGUGCAGGACACUUGGAAGCCCACAGCUCCAUUACUGUAAAUGUAAAAAGAAUGGGAGUGCGGUCACUGUUGGAUCUGAGCUGACUUCCACGUCUGCUCCCCGUUUUAAAAGGGUUUGGGGCUGUCUGUCCACGCUGUGCUUCCACAUUGUCACCUGAAUUAAGUCACACGGAGGGACCGGACCGUCACUCGGGUUCAUGGAACUGCUGCUCUUCAUCCCUCUGAAGGACAUUAUCCCUCUGAAAGAUAGCAUUUUGAUGGGACGUGGAGCUGUCACGUGCUGAUGGCUUUGGAAGCAGAUGCAGGUUUGUGUCUGAGUGAUGCCUGCCUGCAUCCCAAGGCUCUGGCCGGGCCAUGGCCACAGUGGGGCUCUUUGUGUGACUCUGGGGCAGGAGCUGCUCCUUGGGAUGGUUUCUGCAUCCACUCAGGACACGGCUCUGCUGCGGUGGCUCAGCCGGGUCCCCUCCUGCACAGACACCCCGGGCUGCGGGACGUCCCCACAGAGCAGCAAAGAGGCUGUCAGAGGGUAUGACUUCCAUCCUUGUAAUGUUGCUGAAAUAGAAGUAGAGGCUCUUUCACACACACAAAUUAUGCUGUAGCGUAAACAUAGCCUGGAGGAAUCUGCUCGGAUUUCAAAGCUGCAUGGCACAGUCCAUCAGCCUCACACACACACUCUCUUUUAAUGACAGUGCAGAGAAGCCUUCUGCCUAACAUGAAUCAGAGUCCAUAGCCCUGGUGCUGUGCUGCCUCUUCUCCAAGCAAUGUCCCUGUGCUCAGCCUGAACCAGGGGCAGAGAGCAGAGCACAGAGCAAAAUGCCCCUGUCCCAAUGUUGGUCGGGGGAGAAUUGGGUGCUCAGCUGCAUGACCUGUGCCUGGAGAGGUGGUGAUGCCCCAUCCCUGGAGACUUUCAAGGCUGGGCUGGACCAGGCUCUGGGCUACCUGAUGGAGCUAUGCCUGUCCCUGUACGUGGCAGGGGAUUUGGACCAGAUACCUUUAAAGUCCCUUCCAACUCCAAGGAUUCUAUGAUUCUGUGGGUGCUGGGACAGAGCAUUCACUGCAACAUUGCCAACAGAGCCCCGCACCACUCAGCUCCGCUUAAAAGUUUAUUACACCCCACGGCUGCCAUAACAGACAGCAGGGCCUGCAGGUUUGGAAGGCUCUUCUAUUUUCACAUGGGCUUUGCACACUGUUAGAGUGGGUCUCCACGCAGCUCCAUUUGCCCUCUGUUCAGGAUGGAAGUUCCAAAUUUCCCCAGCGUGAGACGAAGAGGUGUUAAUGAGAGAAGGGCAGAGGCACGAUGGCAGCCAGCCCCAUCUGCUCCUCGUGAAGAACACAGUGUUGGUGGGGAAGUGGUUGGACUGGUUUCUGUGGCUGAAAAAAGGCCCUAAGAAGAGCUGGAAAUGUUUUUGUAGAGCAAAUGUCAACAGUGCAGGACUCUCCCCUGUCGCUUUCAGCAGAGACCCGAAGCGAAGCCAUGUGGAGGCACGUAGGGCAGAACUCAAAGCAGCCUAUGAGAAUUACACUCAUAUCAAGGAAAUGUCAUUAUCUGUGUUUUAACAUCUUAUCUCCAGUGUGAUUUUCCCAAACAAACAGCAGUCUGGAAGCAGCCAGUGGAUGGAUGAUCCUUCCCAUCUCCGGUAGCUCCAUAGAACAGCACCGCCUGGGGCUGGGAAUGGGGCAGGAGGGUUCCCCAGGGCUGUGCUGCACACGGGGCACCUCCUCCUGCCGAGCCCCAGGGAGCAGCAAUCACUGCACAGCCAUGGGCUGAGGCUCCCGUGUGCGUUCCCAAUACAAUAACACAUCUCAGCUCAUAAGAGAGGAAUGGUGUGCGAGUAAGUGCUUGUGAAAAUGUGGAGGAAUUUGGGGAAAAACACUGUUUUUUUAGCAUUCCUUUUUCUUAACUUCAUGUUUCCCAACGGAGUAUUGGACUCUUUGUCCGCUCUGUUAUCUCAGCACACAUAAAGCCUGGAUCCUGGGUCAAGCGGUGACAGUCAUGCAGCAAGGGCGGGCUCUUGGACGCUCCAUUCUGAAAGCAGACCAAGAAAAGUCUGCAGAUUGAUACAUUUUUUUCUCUAUUUUUCACAUGCUAAAUCUGAAACAAACAUGUUCCUGCAGUAACACUGAC
ensembl:lncRNA